UUGUAAAAAGCAAUAAUGCGUUUAGUUUCGGCCUAAAAGAUUGAAAGAGUAAUUCUUUACUUA
rnacentral:tRNA from 1 species